rnacentral:lncRNA from 1 species
AGUAAUCUCUUGAUUUUGCAAUACCACCUAGGGAUAGGGGUAGGACGGUCAAUUGCGCUAACUUUUGUUUAUAAUGCGGUAUUAAUUACUUGGGGAGGCCAAGGAUAGCAAGCCAGUAGUUAAUAUUAGGCCCUUUUCGCCGAGGGAUCGGGUUAAGGGGAGGCUAAGAAAGUCGCAUAACAAUUGAAUCAAUCAACUAAUAUUCAAGGGUAGUAUGUAAGAGAGAGUGGAAUAGAUGAAAUUGCUAGUACCCAACAACAUCCAUCCAUCCAUUGUUUUCGUUUGUCAAUUGAAUCACCUUUACUUUGCAUGUUAAUAUUUUUGUUCUCAAAUCCAAUUAAUUAAUUUUUAUUUCUCAAGUCUUAUUAUUUUAAUUCACGCGAACGAGGAAGCCAUACGAGUCUCUUGGGAAAACGAUACUUGGUCUUACCAUUUAUAUUACUUGU